AGGCGGACGGGUGAGUAACACGUGGGUAACCUACCUAUAAGACUGGGACAACUUCGGGAAACCGGAGCUAAUACCGGAUAAGAUAUCGAACCGCAUGGUUCGAUAGUGAAAGAUGGUUUUGCUAUCACUUAUAGAUGGACCCGCGCCGUAUUAGCUAGUUGGUGAGGUAACGGCUCACCAAGGCAACGAUACGUAGCCGACCUGAGAGGGUGAUCGGCCACACUGGAACUGAGACACGGUCCAGACUCCUACGGGAGGCAGCAGAU
rnacentral:rRNA from 1 species